CUUUUUGCAUACCUUCCAAUGGAAAGGACAAAAACAUUUGCUGCAAGUGGUGAUAUUUGUUUGGCCACGCCCGUUUUUUGAACACACGUUCAUGUUACAACUAUUGGCAGGUUAUGAAAGUCUGAACACAUUUCUGGGAGUGUUAUGGCCAUAUUUUAUGUGGUAUAACGGUUUUGCUAAUGAAGGUGAAAUUGCCCUUUAAGCUGCUAGUCUCAGUUCUCCCGAGAGAGCUGCUUAUCUUAAAUAGUUACAAUUGUAUCUUUACUUGUCUUUAAUUGUUACACAUGUAUCUACGUGCAGGUGCUGAGUGUUUUUUUUGGCUCUCUGCCAAAAUCAUCUUAUUUGAUUAAGUUUUACUUUCUUUAAUGAAAUUCUCCCACUAUUUUCUGCAGAAGGGGCCCUGAAAUUUCUUUUGCAGGGGAGCCCUGGCAUCUGAAGUUACACGACUGGCUAUAAUAAGUCGUUCUUAUAAAUAUUUCUAUCAAUGAUGUGCUAAAGUGUCAGUCAAUUAGUUGGGGGGCAGUUUAGCUUGCUCUUGUCACACUGCUUUGCCUUGUCAUUGCUUGAUACAGAAAUUAUCUCAAUUUCUAGGGAGAGGACUGAAGUUUUUGUGUAAGUUACAUAAAUUGUGUAAGGUUUAUUGUAACUUUAUAUGUAAUUGCACAAUUUACAUAACAUUUGCUAUGUGUUCAGGUCCCCUUUUGGAUCAAAAUUUCCCUUGGGACAACAGUUUCUCCUUCAAUGGUGGUUCUGCCUGUUAACAAGCAGCAUGGGAACUCAAUGAAAAAAAAUACAGAUAUAAGACCUUGUCUUUGAUCCACCCAGUCAUGACCAUUAUGCUGUAACCCACUCACUCUCCAGCAAGCCCCUGUGAAUAGGACUUUAACACCUCUGCUGUACCCCCUGUUAUAGCAGCCUUGUCCUGCUCCAAUGGAUCUCCCAUGGGGCUAAAGACCCUCACUAAUUAAUGGCUUGGGAAUCAUGGGGGGAGGGGGAAGAGGUGGGACUGUUCUCAUGGGCCCAGUGAAAUCUUCCCUCCAGCUGUGUAGCAAAUAUUAAAUUGUGUAAGUUAUUUGUAAAGUUAGGGCAAACUCCACUGUCCCAAUGAACUGCAGACUCAUUAGCACAUUAAUUAAUGGAACUAUACAGUAUAUAUGAACUGCUUAUUAUAGAUCAGCAGACCACAAACAGUGGCUAGUGAACAAUUUGUUUCUCCCCAACCAAUUGAAUGUUGCUCUCAGUGGCCUCAACGCAGAUGUUUUUUUUUAAUUCCUGGCUUGAAGGCAAGUUUUAGUUACCUAAAAAAUAUGUGUAUUGCCAAACAGAGCCUCCUGUACACUGCCAGCCCCCCUAGGAGAUGCAGUUUCUAUAGUUAAUGAUGGGUGAGUUUGUAUCAUUGUAUCAUUGUAUAUCUGGAUGAAAGAAAAUUGUACAACGGGAUACAACUUUUGUUCUAUUUACUUGCUUGUUGAUCAUUUGUCUAGCAAACAUAAGGAGCAUGUUGAUUCUGUGUACUUGUGAUCAUAUGGGGGCUACAUAUACAGUAAAUAACGUGUAUACAGCCCCAAAGUUUCUGAUCGUGACCCUGCUGGAGCAGUGGAAUCAUGUUGCCCCUAUCUCCAAGAGAUGUGUUUCACAAUAAAUCAGGUGGAAUUCUCUUGCCUUAAGGCAGAAAGCCACUGGUGCCUUCUGCGCCCUCUGGCCACAAUGAAGCAGGAAGUAAUGCCAGUAACAUAUUCCCCAUAGAGGCCUCUGGUAGAAUGGGUAUGGUGGCUAAAGUACUCAAGAGCACUUGACACCAGACCCUGGCACUGCGGUACAGACCUGUGGCUUCAGGUAUUAUAGUGUUUUCCCACCAUUUGCCAUGUGCAUAUUAGUGGGUUUCCAGGAAGCUGUGGUAUCUUCCACUGAGUGUAUUGGCCAUGUGCUUAUCCAUGGGCCCCUUGGAAGUCUUGGUAUCUUCUGAUGGCAAUGUAGUUAGACAAACAAUAUAUUGCUUGUGGGUCAUAUGCAGAUUUAAUAUCAUUUAAAUUGUAGACCCGUUGAUUGAGCAGUGGCAUAGCUUGUGAAUUAAAAUAUUCCCAAGUGGUACAAAUCUUCCCCAAAUGAAGGAACUGCCUCAUCUGGACCCCUCUUUUCUGGGAACAUUUUUGGGAUGGCCACUAUUGGCGGUCCGCAUCAUUUUUCUUUAUUACUAUUGGCAUGAAGCAAGGUAUUGCGAGUAAUGGGUUUCCGAUAUAGAUCUGUCAACACCUUCUCAUCACACAAAGUAAAUUUUAUAUCAAAAUUAUCAGUCUCAUCAGAUUAUAUUCACUGAUGAAGGAUAUACCCCAACCAGUGUUAUUACAGUAUUGAACCAACAAAUUAAUUGAAUCUCCUGUACCCUCCCAAACCCUACCAAAUAAAAACAAGAUUGUCAAUGCACAGAAAAUAUUUAACAAUAUGUGCCUUAAAUGGAUUUGACACAUCAUAGAUCAACAUCUAUGAGGGUGCAAAUUUGCCACCAUCGCUGCCCCCUCAAAUCAAACAUAAAAAUAUUAGAAUUGAGUAAAUAAUCCAAUGCUUAUAUCAGAAAUUCAUUUUGAACAUCAGGGUAAAGUCUCAUGUGUGUUAACCAAAAUCUAAUGACCCUUAAACCUCAAUCGUUUUCAAUGGAGGAAUAAAGAGCUGCAACAUCCAUAGUGACCCACAAAAAGGAAGGUUUCCAAACCCCAUCCUGAAUCUUAUUAAUGCAAUCAGUGCUAUCUAGGCAAAUUAAAUAUAAUAGUUAAUAAUACUUGAUCAACAUAUUCUGACAACCACUCAUUUAAAGAUCUAAUGCCGGAUAAAAAUGGUCUACCCUGAACAUUGGACAAAUUCUUGUGGACCUUGGGUAACCAAUGAAAGAUGGGGAUACGGGAACAACCUCGCUCAUAUAUAUGAAUAUUCCUUCUCAGUCAAAAUAGAUUAUUUUUUUGCUUGAUCAAGUAAUCUCAUCAAUCUCAGACGAAAUUCAUUUGUUGGAUCAUGGUUAAGAACGUGAUAAGUGUGCCCCAUCAUGAAGCUGUCUUAAAGCUUCAUUUUUGUAAUAAUCAGCAUCCAAUACGACCAUCGAACCACCCCUUAUCUGCACCUUUUACUUCAAUAGACAUUCUCUGAUAAACAAUAGCCUUUCUUUCUGACUCUUGCAGAUUACCAUGUUUAUUGUCAUACUGAUUUUUUAAUUUACUGAGGUCAGCGAUGACUAAUUUUUGAAUCAUGUCAAUAUGCAUGUCCCUACUAUGUAUGCGUUAUAAGGUUGAUCUUUCCUGUAACCUACCGGGUACCACAUCACAAUAGUCUUCAUGAUGUUGAACUGUGUUCAAUGAUAAAUUUUCCAUAGAAUUAAAAAUACACAAUUUCUCAAAAGUAAAACUAAAAGAUUCACCAACACUAUGUAUAUUAAAUGGCAAAUUGUCAGAAUUGCCCCCAUUAUAACCACGAACAUCACUUAUGGAACUAGGCUCAUUAUUAUCAUCAGAAAGUACUUCUAUGUCCUAAGUAAUAUGUAAAAAUAUCUUAAAAGUGUAAGCUUACAGACAAAAUUAUUCAUCUUCAAAAUAAUAUCAAACACUUUUGUAUUCAUAUCCAGUGUCGGACUGGGGGUCCUGGGCCCACUGGGACUGUUACCUUGGGGGCCCCCACACAGUGUCGUACUGGGACACCAGGGGCCGACCAAAAAACCUUAGACUAGGGGCCCACACUCAGUACUAUUUUCUUGCUCUCCUCAAUCAACCUCUGCUGAGCUGGCUGACUACUGUUACUUUGUAUCCGCUGCAUCAUGAUCUGAGCAGUAAUAUGGCUGUUCUAAUAGAGUGGUCUCUGGAUCAGGAAAUUGCAGAAUGUUGGGAUCUCCCUUACAUAGGUCUCAUGACGUACAGAUGGAAUUGCAAGGUAUCAACUUUCUUCUCUUUCAACAGGUUUGAUCACCCGGACUACCUAGAUGUGAUGCCAUUCAGAUCAGAUUUCCUAUUUGUGUAUAUUAUCCCUCCUCUUCCCAUGUUACCCAGAGUUCUCCUAAAGAUCAGAGAGGAGCAGAUGAACACGAUACUCAUAGCCCCAUUUUGGCCCAAGAGUAGUUGGUUCUCUUUUUUUCAAGAAAAUAUUAUUUAAAAAGGAGGCAAGAUGAAUCCGAAAACUAGAAACAUUAGCUCCCCAUGGUCUCAACAGAGAAGAUGACUUGACCAGGCUUUUUUCAUAAUGGACAUGAUGGAAACCGAAUCUUUCAUUAAGGUAGACAAAGUAAAUAAAUUAUUUUUGGACUUGAUUGGAUACAAUUGUGGUGGAUUAUAUAUGUGAUGCAUUGUUGUAAAUGUGAGAAUACACCAUUAGGGGUCAAUGUGUUACAAUGUAUAAAUAACUGUGCACAGGGGCUGCUGAAGUGGCUUGAUAAAAGACUGAUGCCGGUUUGAAACGUUGUAGAUUGUCUGGGUCAGAGCCCAUGUCUUAAUAAAGGUGUUUUAAGAAAA